rnacentral:rRNA from 1 species
AUACGGAGGGAGCAAGCGUUAUUCGGAAUCACUGGGCGUAAAGGACGCGUAGGCGGGUUUGUAAGUCAGGUGUGAAAUCCUACAGCUCAACUGUAGAACUGCACUUGAAACUACAGACCUAGAGUAUGGAAGGGGCAGAUGGAAUUAGUGGUGUAGGGGUAAAAUCCGUAGAUAUCACUAGGAAUACCGAAAGCGAAGGCGAUCUGCUGGGACAUUUCUGACGCUGAGGCGUGAAAGCGUGGGGAGCAAACAGGAUUAGAAACCCUAGUAGUCC